rnacentral:rRNA from 1 species
UUCGCAAUGCCCGAAAGGGUGACGAAGCGACGCCGCGUGCGGGAAGAAGGCCUUCGGGUUGUAAACUGCUGUCGGGAGUUAAGAAGUGCAAGGGUGUUAAUAGCAUCUUUGCUUGACUAAGGCUCCGGAGGAAGCCACGGCUAACUCUGUGCCAGCAGCCGCGGUAAUACAGAGGCGGCAAGCGUUGUUCGGAAUUAUUGGGCGUAAAGAGCACGUAGGCGGCUAUGCAAGUCGGUUGUGAAAGCCUUCCGCUCAACGGAAGAACGGCAUCCGAUACUGCAUGGCUCGAGUGCGGGAGGGGAGAGUGGAACUUCUGGUGGAGCGGUGAAAUGCGUAGAUAUCAGAAGGAACACCGGCGGCGAAAGCGACUCUCUAGCCCGUAACUGACGCUGAGUGUGCGAAAGCUAGGGGAGCAAACGGGAUUAGAUACCCCGGUAGUCCUAGCCGUAAACGAUGGGCACUAAGUAGAGGGGUUUU